GGCCCGGCGGCGGAUGGUCCGCGCCCGCUGUGCAUUGACGCGAUGUGUAGUAUUAUUUCUGCGGGAGACGCUCGUUCGAUUCGAGCCCGGGCCA